CCUACGGGAGGCAGCAGUGAGGAAUAUUGGUCAAUGGACGAGAGUCUGAACCAGCCAAGUAGCGUGAAGGAUGACUGCCCUAUGGGUUGUAAACUUCUUUUAUAUGGGAAUAAAAUGUUCCACGUGUGGGAUUUUGUAUGUACCAUAUGAAUAAGGAUCGGCUAACUCCGUGCCAGCAGCCGCGGUAAUACGGAGGAUCCGAGCGUUAUCCGGAUUUAUUGGGUUUAAAGGGAGCGUAGGUGGAUUGUUAAGUCAGUUGUGAAAUUUUGCGGCUCAACCGUAAAAUUGCAGUUGAAACUGGCAGUCUUGAGUACAGUAGAGGUGGGCGGAAUGCGUGGUGUAGCGGUGAAAUGCUUAGAUAUCACGAAGAACUCCGAUUGCGAAGGCAGCUCACUGGACUGCAACUGACACUGAGGCUCGAAAGUGUGGGUAUCAAACAGGAUUAGAUACCCUGGUAGUC
rnacentral:rRNA from 1 species